ACCCCAGCGGAUUUGUGGCUGACUGGGACAGCUCAUAAGGAAGAAAAUAUCUACCUCAUGCCUUUGUGAGAUAAUCCACUCCAUGUGCUGGGGCUGCAAGUAUUGUGUAAGUGCCCAAGAAGGAAGCUAAUAAUAUUGCCAAACCUUAGAGCCCUCCUGCGACAUCGGCACUGUGACCUCUGACAAGCAGACGAGGAAGACAAAAGUGAGGGGUCUGGAUAAAUUACCAGAGGUCACGGAGCCAGCCAAUGGCAGAGUCAGAAUUUGCACCCAGGUGGCAACAGUAUCCAAAAGCCAAAGAGUGUCUUUCUUCCAUGGACCUACUUUUAAGAACAAGAAGAAUCUUUCCAGAAGCCUCCAGAGCAGACACUGCCCUUCAUGUUUCAUUGGCCAGGCUGGGUCAUGGUCUACUCUUAAACCCAUCACUGGCAAGAAGUCCCUACACUAGUCAAGGUUGACUGCCUGGGACUGGUAAGCAGGCCAGAGUGGCAAUGGAUGUUGACUAGCACACCAACAAUGUCCUUGUGAUAUUUGAAGUCAUACAGAGCUGGGUUUGCAUCCAGGCUCACCAUUUACAAACCUAGACAAUUUUACCUCUUGAAAUUUUAGUAUCCUCACUUGGAAAAUAGGGUUAAGAAUAUCUACUGCAAAGGUGAUUGAUGAGGGUUAAACAAGGCAUAUUUGUGAAAGGUAUAACACAGUGUGUGGCACAUAAUAGUUCCUUAAUGCCUGUUGGUUUUUCCCGUUUCCCUUUUGCUUCCCUUUUGGAUAGCUUUCAGCGUAUGUGUUCCCAUUAGAACUAGAGGACUUUCUCUUGAUCUCUUCAUGUCUGCAGCAAGUUCUCCUGCCUCUUCUAGUGAUUUCUGGUUCCACAACGUUAUUAACAAUGCUUUUAAGAAUGUGAUUAUUACUUGUCAUUAAUACUACUGUUGGAGUAAUUGAUAAAUGUAUAGUAUAAAAUGAUGUUGACCCAAAGUUCAUAUAUGUUGUUAUAUUUGACCCUGAUAAUGUGGUCAAUUGGGGUUGCUACAAUUAAAGGUAA